rnacentral:snoRNA from 1 species
GUAUAUGAUGAUUGCACUUUCUCACGACGGUCAACUGUUGCUCCGGCACUUGAUGAUAAUUCGGCUUUGACAAGCCGUGCACCUGAAA